UACGUAGGGUGCAAGCGUUGCCCGGAAUUACUGGGCGUAAAGGGCGCGUAGGCGGCCGCCUAAGUCAGACGUGAAAUCCCUCGGCUCAACCGGGGAACUGCGUCUGAUACUGGGUGGCUUGAAUUCGGGAGAGGGAUGCGGAAUUCCAGGUGUAGCGGUGAAAUGCGUAGAUAUCUGGAGGAACACCGGUGGCGAAGGCGGCAUCCUGGACCGAGAUUGACGCUGAGGCACGAAAGCCAGGGGAGCAAACGGG
rnacentral:rRNA from 1 species